UGGACCAAUAAUGACAGCUGCCGGCGUAUGAGUCUGGGAUGAUGAAUAUUUCGUGUCUGGAACUCUGAGGUCCAG
ensembl:snoRNA